AGCGCGGGUAAACGGCGGGAGUAAC
rnacentral:ncRNA from 8 species